rnacentral:rRNA from 1 species
AGUGAACGCUGGCGGUAGGCCUAACACAUGCAAGUCGAACGGCAGCACAGUAAGAGCUUGCUCUUACGGGUGGCGAGUGGCGGACGGGUGAGGAAUACAUCGGAAUCUACUUUUUCGUGGGGGAUAACGUAGGGAAACUUACGCUAAUACCGCAUACGACCUACGGGUGAAAGCAGGGGAUCUUCGGACCUUGCGCGAUUGAAUGAGCCGAUGUCGGAUUAGCUAGUUGGCGGGGUAAAGGCCCACCAAGGCGACGAUCCGUAGCUGGUCUGAGAGGAUGAUCAGCCACACUGGAACUGAGACACGGUCCAGACUCCUACGGGAGGCAGCAGUGGGGAAUAUUGGACAAUGGGCGCAAGCCUGAUCCAGCCAUACCGCGUGGGUGAAGAAGGCCUUUGGGUUGUAAAGCCCUUUUGUUGGGAAAGAAAAGCAGCAGGUUAAUACCCCGCUGUCCUGACGGUACCCAAAGAAUAAGCACCGGCUAACUUCGUG